GCUGCAAAAGCUGCAGGCACAUUCUUCUCUGGUGCUCUGCCAUGGGAUUCAUGCUACAGCCUGCAUGACUUUCAGAGCCAGAGCUUGGAACUGCUUAUCCUAUGCUGGGAGUUUCUUUUGCCAAGGGUUGUGUCUCCUGCUGGGAGUGCAAAUACAUCUACAUCACCUUCCAGGCAGGGAGGGAGAGGACUAAAAGACGGCACCAGCAAAUCACUUUAAGCAGGCAGCAAAACCACAAAAAUAAACCCUUGAAAAUGGGACUGAAUGACACGCCCACAUCACUGAUAAAUGCCAUUUUCAGCAGACUCAUCUCUUCGCCAGAGAGAUCAGUCAACUUGGACUCUUGUUACCAUCACAUUUGGCACCAGUGUUUCCCACGUGAGAAGCCAGCACCACCACCUUCAUCAAUAUCACCAUGACUUUCAUCGUCAUCACCAUUACAACCACCAUCAUUAAUAUCACCAUCACCUUCACGUAACUACCUCCACAACCACCAUUCUCAAUAUCACCAUCACCUUCAUUACCACCACUACAACCACCAUCAAUAUCACCAUCACCUUCAUCAUCACCACCACCACAACCACCAUCAAUAUCACCAUCACCUUCAUCACCACCACCAUCAUCAUCAAUAUCACUAUCACUUUCAUCAUCACCACCAGCACCACAACCACCAUCAAUAUCACCAUUACCUUCAUCAUCACCAUCACCUUCAUCACCACAACCACCAUCUCACAAUCACUUUCAUCAUCACCACCACCAUAACCAUCGUCAAUAUCACCAUCACCUUCAUCAUCACCACAACCACCAUCAACCAUAUCACCAUCACUUUCAUCAUCACCACCACCACAACCACCAUCAAUACCACCUUCAUCAUCACCACCACCACAAAUCACCAUCAUAUCACCCUCACUUUCAUCAUUACCACAAUCACCAUCAAUAUCACCAUCCCCUUCACCAUCACUACCAACACAGCCACCAUCAUCAAUAUCACCCUCAACUUUAUUAUCACCUCCACCAUCAGCAGCAGCAUCAACUUCAUCAUCACCAUCACCACCUCUGCCAUCAGCAGCAUCAUUAUUAUCUUCAUCAUCAUGGUUUCAGCCACAAUCGGAAUCAACAGCCGUCACCCAGAGUUGAAGGAGGAAGUGGGCUGAGAGAAGCUCUGCCUUCAUAGUUCCUGGGAGGCAUGAACUGGUUGCUGCAUGCUGAGCAUUUCAAACUGGCACACGGUGUCACCCACUCAGAGAACACCCCUGACCUUCCCAAGGAAGCCCUCUGCACUCCGACGCCAUAUACCCGUGAUCUGCACAGGACUGUCACCAUCUGGAAUUGAUUGCCUCUCUUCCCGUUUUGCUAUUGUCAUUUGCACCCACAGGAAUGUCACCCACAUGAGUGUGGAAUUUCAUCUGUCUGUUCGCUGCUGGAUCCCUGCUCUAAGUAAGAAAAGGACCUGUGGCAGAGUGAGCUCUGGAUGAGGAUUUGCUGAGGAAUUGAAUGAGGGAAAGACUCAGAGAAUGGAAUGCUGAGAAUUCUACAAUAAAUAUUUGAAUCCUAGAGUGUUGGAGUCAGGAGAAGCCCUCGGAAGCCAUCUAGACAAACCCAUUCAUUUGCAAAGGGGUAAACUGAGGCUGAGGAGAAAAAAGUGACUUGCUCCACAUCCCAAGGCCUGAGGGUCUUCUCCCUGCUCUGAUGGGAGAGGGACCCCCUUUGUGCUGUUGUGGGUAAAAUGGUGAUGUGUGGCUGGAGGGUGAAGGGGCUUCUUCUGCCCUUUGACUCAUUGCCUAGGAAAAUAGGGACAAAAGGCGCAAAUUUUUUCAAAAUGCAAACAACUAAAGACAACGUCAUUCAGUAGAGACAAAGUGGGUGUUUGGGUUGACAGAGAAACAGAAAAGCUUCCCUGAGGUUGAGGAGGGAAGAGGGGGCUUGAAGGUGGGUGAGCCCCAAAUGUGACCUUCAACUCCUGGGAAGCUGUAGGCAAGGACAUAGCCAAGGCAAAACCAUCAAGAAUGUAAUUCACCAACAGAAACAUUCACUGACCACCCUCGGGGCCUGAAGGUCUUUCCAAAGGUGAGUCAGAGUGGGUGCUUGGAUGCUGAUCUGGGGAAAAGGGGAAGCUGCCCUGAGCUGAAGAGUGUCCCUGCCAAAUUCAUGUCCACUGGAACCUCAGCGUGUGACUUAGCUGAAAACAGGGCCCUGCCAUCUCAUACUGUCCUCCUCGGUCACACUGGCUGGAGGCAAAGCCCUCUCCCCUGUUUCCGGAAAUCUCCAACCCUGUGCACCUUUUAUCAGUCUUCACUUGGGUGGAUUUUUCUGUUCUCUAGAGCUCAACUCCAACCGCCCCUUUGCCAAAGGGCUUCCUUGAGAGCUGUUCUGGCAGCCGAGGCUCCUCCCUCUCCUGCUGGAGGUCCAGGGUCUGUGGGUGUACAGAGGGGCAGCCUGGCGAGGGCAGGGACUCUGGAUCUUUUGUCCUCUGGUGUGUCCCCAGGACCUAGACCCGGCCUGACAGUAGGUGCUGCACUACUCCUGGUGAAUUUAUUGUUAGAAAUUGACAGGUCCUUGCUAUUCAUGUCUGUUUCCUCCAGCCUUGCUGCUGAGCACAUGAUGAACUUCAAACAAUAGCGAAGUCAGGAGCCAGGCGCUGAUGACCCCCAGGAGGAAGCUUGCAGAGGAUGAUGGGACAGAGGGGGAUGGGCAGGAGUCUAAGCAGGCGCUCAGGGAGGCCGCUUUCGUCAAGGAUGCUGAAAGAAUGGGGGUCUCAUGGAUUCUGGGAGAGAUGGUCCAAGGCAGAGGGACAGCCAGUGUGGGCCUGGAAAGAUGUGUGCCGCAUGUCUGAGGGGCAGGGGCCAAUGUGGCUGGAGGUAGAUGGGAGAGGAGGACACUAGGGGCUGAGGUCAGAGGGGACACAACUGGAUCUGUGCGAGACCUUGCAUGCCACUGAAAGGGCGCUGGCUGUCACUGUCGUGACCAGAGCCUCUGGGCAGGUCUUCACAGAGGUCAGGCUGACUGCACUUGCGGAUGGAUUGAAUAGCAGUAGUUAGAGGACAGCAUGCAUGGCUCAGGGAGGAUUCCCAGGAUUUGGGAUGCACAGCUGGAAGAAGGGAGGAGCUCCUGAAUGAGGAGUGGGAGGUCCGGGAAGGGCAGCCUUGGUGGGGAGAGACGCCGGGACCUGCAGAGAAACUCCCUGAAAAGAACAGGGCUGAGCCAUCUUUACCCCAGGCUCAGGACCUUCCUUCGCUGUAACUGCCAGGACAAUCCACUGUGCUGUCACUCAGAGAGCGAAACCAGCCUGACUUUGCACCUGUGUCUCCAAGGGAUAAAGGUCAAUGUCACAGCAGACUCCACUCUGAUGCUGUCUUCAAGCCAAAACCUUAAUAUUCAAUGAGAAAUCUGCAUUGAUGAAAUUUUCAUUAAACAAACUUUAUCCCUCUCA